rnacentral:lncRNA from 1 species
GCAGGUUAACCUUUUGAAAUUUCAGUUCCUCAAUCUAAGAGGGGGGAUAAUAAUAUUCCUUAAAGGAUUAAGGGAUAUCAUGUUUUUAAAAUGUAGCAGCUCAGUGUCUGACAACUCAUAGCUAUUUAUUAUCUGAAAAGUAUGUUGUCCAUAUUAGUCACUGCAUAAUAAAAGAAACAUGAUCCUUAUUUUUCAUGUUUAUAUCAUGAGCUCACUGAUUUGUAGUUCUUUCUAAUAAAACAGGCCCUCUUCCUUCUAAAUUAUUAGGGUUAUGCUUUAUUGUUUUUUCUUUUUGGGUUAUUCUUAAUUAUCAGGGUUGUAUUUUAACAUUUUAAUUCUUAAUUGUUGUUUAUAAUGUAAUGCUAGAUUAAUUAAAAACUCUAUAAUGUUCUCUAUGAAGCGGAAUUAUGGGUGGAAGUAGUAUGCAUAGGAUGUUAUUUAUCGGGGCCUUAGUUUCUGAGCCAACAAAUAAACUUCCUUUUAAAGCAAUUUAAGGAGUUCCCAUCAUGGCACAGCAGAAACAAAUCCGACUAGGAACCAUGAGGUUGUGGGUUCAAUCCCUGGCCUCACUCAGUGGGUCAAGGAUCCAGUGUUGUUGUGAGCUGUGGUGUAGGUCACAGACGUGGCUCAGAUCUGGUGUUGCUGUGGCUGUGGUGUAGGCCGGCAGCAACAGCUCCAGUUAGACCUCUAGACUGGGAAUCUCAAUAUGCUGUGGGUGUAGCCCUAAAAAGACAAAAAGGCAAAAAAAAAAAAAAAAANAACAAAGCUAUUUAACAUAUAAAAUAAUCUAAAGCUGACACUAUGAGAGCACAAUUCUGCCACAAUCCAGAGGACUUACUUGCCAUGCUGUGGGACUUGUUCUAUCAGAACUGACCCCAUCAAAAUAGAAUCGGUGGGGAUUUAAUGGAUUCUGUUCUAAGAGUAAACUCAUAAACUGUCUCCAGGGCUGUACUAACAUCUUUAGUGCACCAAGUUAUCUGAUCCAAUAAAUGUUCUCUGGAAGUCAAAAUCCUUUUAAAAAAAGUUUUUGUCUCAUUUGCAGUGAUGUAAGUGUGUGAUGGGUGGUAAGAUGUUGUUGCCAAAAUUAAAGAGACAGUGAUACACAAAAGUUUCUCCGACCUCUUCCCCAAACUCAGACCAAGCAGGGGUAAAUAAUAAACAUAUAUGCCAGAGAUAAAAUGGAACUUUGGAAGCUAUGGUCCAUUUUAUGGGCCCAGCACACUCCUGCUGUGCCACUCUGCUGGUGGACUAUUGUCCAUUUUAGAGCUCAAGAAAAUAAAGCUUAGUGAUCACAAGUAUAACUAGCAUUGUCAUACUCAAUCCAGGGUCCUAGACACCUGAGCAACAUUACAAAGCUUCCGGAGCCAUGUCUUAGAAAAAAAUUAAGGCAGCAUAAACUCACAUAAAAUAUUGUCAUAUGUAUGUUUAGAUGAGGUGAUGGACGGAAAAGGUAUGUUUAAAAUAGGCAGUCCUGACAGAUGGUUGAGACUGCAUUCUUAUCAGGCUAUAAAUUCUCUGCUUGGGCUGUUAUCUGUGAGUUUGAGUCUCUAUGGAAUCUCUUAUACUCAGAGAAGUUAACUUUGCUUUCUCAUGUCUUAUUGCAUUGUACAACUAGAAAUCAGCACUUCAAGGUUGUGUUGUUUGUUUUGUGGAAAACUGAAAACAAGUGAUGCUUUGCUUUCAUUUUAAACUUUUGUGGCUGGAGAAGAAAUGCCUGGGUAAUGAGGUUUCAGUGAAAUCUUCAUAUUUAAAAAUCUCCAUGUGUUACUCUGUGGAAGGAUGGAUGAAGACAUGAAGAGAUGAUUUGGCUCCAUAAAUUAACCUUGCACCUCAGAUUAUUUUGGUUGCGGGCAGGGGAUAGAAGAGUCUUUAAUCUAAAAGGAGCUAUUGAUAAGCUAAAAGAUGAAGAUAGUAGAAAAAAAAA